UACCAGCACCCCGAGUGGUCUGGACAUUUAUUGGGCCUAAAGCAUCCGUAGCCGGUUCUACAAGUCUUCCGUUAAAUCCAACUGCUUAACAGGUGGGCUGCGGAAGAUACUAUAGAGCUAGGAGGCGGGAGAGGCAAGCGGUACUCGAUGGGUAGGGGUAAAAUCCGUUGAUCCAUUGAAGACCACCAGUGGCGAAGGCGGCUUGCCAGAACGCGCUCGACGGUGAGGGAUGAAAGCUGGGGGAGCAAACCGG
rnacentral:rRNA from 1 species